rnacentral:rRNA from 1 species
UACGUAGGGUGCAAGCGUUAAUCGGAAUUACUGGGCGUAAAGCGUGCGCAGGCGGUUUUAUAAGACAGAUGUGAAAUCCCCGGGCUCAACCUGGGAACUGCAUUUGUGACUGUAGAGCUGGAGUACGGCAGAGGGGGAUGGAAUUCCGCGUGUAGCAGUGAAAUGCGUAGAUAUGCGGAGGAACACCGAUGGCGAAGGCAAUCUCCUGGGCCUGUACUGACGCUCAUGCACGAAAGCGUGGGGAGCAAACAGG